ACUGAAUAGACACCAUGAGCAAAGCUCACCCUCCUGAGUUGAAAAAAAUUUAUGGACAAGAAAUUGUCAUUGAAAUUAAACGGUGGCAGUCAUGUCUUAGGAAUAGUGUGGGGGUUCGAUCCCUUUAUAGAACUUGUGAUGGGGGAUCCCUGGGUGGCUCAGCAGUUUGGCGCCUGCCUUUGAGCCAGGGCGUGAUCCUGGAGUCCCGGGAUCCAGUCCCCCAUCGGGCUCCCUGCAUGGAGCCUGCUUCUCCCUCUGCCUGUCUGUCUGUCUGUCUCUCUCUCUCUCAUGAAUAAAUAAAUAAAAUCUUAAAAAAAAAAAACUUGUUAUGGAUGAAGGUAUGGAGAUGGCAACUCAUGGCAACAACAAUAUUGGAAUGGUGGUAACUCCAGGAAAUAGUAUUGUGUUAGAAGCCUUGGAAGAAAUAUAAACAACGGUGUGUUCCCUGGAAGAAAUCAACUGCUUCCACGUGUCACCCCUCUGUAGCACCUGUUUUACUACAAUUUAAAAACCAGGUCAUGUGCAUUUUCAUAUUGAACUUUUUUGUUGAUUCAACUUUCGUAAUAGUAAAAAAAAAUGAAUCAAAUGUUCUUGAUUAGAGUGGUAUUGUUUGGUGGUGAACAUACUAAAACCACUGACUUGUACACUUGAAAAGGUGAAGCAUAUACUUGAGAGGGGUGAAUGUGAAUCAUAUCUCAGUUUUUUAAAGACCAACAUAAAAGCCCGUGUUCUAAGGCUACCAUUAGCCAUUGAUAUUUUUUAGUUAUUUGUUUUAGAUGCAGUUGUAAAGGAGUUCACAUUUCAUACUCCUGGACAAAUCCAACCUCUCUGAAGGAGACACUUCUGCAAGUGACCGGCGAUGCUCCAUGUUCCUAUCCAACAGAUCUUGCUGAGAUGUACAGCCAGACUUACUUCCAUCCGGUGUGCACACCACACAGAGCUGGUUAGAGAUGACCCUGCACAGUUUAUUUUUUGCAGUAACCUCUUCAUCCAAUGUGGGACUCAAACCUGCGACCCCAAGAUCAGGAGUCACGUGCUUUUCCGACUGAGCCAACCAAUCACCCCUGUGUGAACUUUAACAACCAGUAGAACUUGCUUCUGCUUAGAACGUGGGAAAGAGGUUUGGUGAUGGUAGCCAUCAGUUAUGCUGACCUUGGAGGAAGAAUAACAUUUCCAAAACAGGAGAACUGUUCCCAGUAGUAGGCCAUUCCUUUCUUCAGAUCUGUAUCCCUGCUUUAGAGUCUAUUUAAACCAGCAUCCAGGGACCCCUAGGUGGCUCAGUGGUUUAGUGCCGCCUUUGGCCCAGGGUGUGAUCCUGGAGUCCCGGGAUCGAGUCCCACAUGGGGCUCCUUGGAUGGAGCCUGCUUCUCCCUCUGUCUCUGCCUCUCUCUCUCUCUCAUGAAUAAA